rnacentral:snRNA from 1 species
UUAGUAGCGCAGUGGCAGUAUCGUAGCCAAUGAGGUUAAUCUGAGGCGCGAUUAUUGCUAGUUGAAAACUUUCCUAAAGCAAG